UGGAAGGAAACCAGAGUGGAGAUCUGGGUUCGAGGCUAAGAAGGAAGUGCUCUGCUGGGUAUGGUUGGUAAAAAGAAACUGUCGCCUUGGGAAUUCUACAGGAAAGACUGAUGGAAAGCAGCUCCUCUAUGGGGGACAUGCAAGUAAACGGCAGAGAACAGAGGUCACCGAGUAGGCAGAGGAAGAGGAAUCUGAACCCCAGAGGCGGAUUCCUGAGACUUGGUGAUGCCUGCUCCCUCUGCACUUGAGGUCGAGAGCCACGCGGUGGCCUCUGACGCGAGAUGGAGGUCCCCCUUGCGGAACGAAGGACUUAUACCACCAUGGCCAGCCCCCUUUGAGGUCUGUCCCCGCCAGGGACGGCUGUCCUACCCAGGCUCAGCCCCUCCCCAGGGCAGCCUGCACGCACGCCUGAUCCGCACGGGUCUGUACAGUCCCUUUUCCCUUCUCGCCCUGACUCAGGACAAUUUCUGAAGGUUGUCCUGACUUUGGAGCUUCGGGUGGGGCAGACUGAGGUCUACAUGAGGCCCUCCAUCAGUCCUGCUCCCCGCCUUCCCCCUCCAGGGGUCGAUCCCCAAGACACACCCUGCGUGCCACCCUCCCUCCCUGGAAACCCCGGGACGAUGAACGCGUGCCCAGGAAGGUGGACCUCAGACCCCCUACCCAUCUCAGGGGCCCAGGCUCACCAUGGUCUCCCUCACCUUCUGCUCCAGAUUCAAAACUAUUUUUUUUCUUUCCCGGGAACAAGCAUUUACCUUGUACCCCAAUCUAUCCACGGCCUUCUCUUGCCAUGUCCACCUCCAUACCUCGGUUGCCUCCCCAGAGUGAGAACGGCUGGAAACACGAACAGUUCACUCUACACUUUGUUCAGCAAUAGGCACGCAGCCCAGGAUGCUCCUAGGAGAACCAGCCCACAGACGUCCCGUGGGGACAUGCGUGGCCCCUUCCCACUGGGGUUUGUUAAGCUGCUGAGAAUGUGCAUUUGGAGCUUCCGGAACCCCAAAGGGAGAGCAUUUCAAGAAAUGAAGCAAAUACGAAAGGAACGUCAACGAGUGAGAGCGACAUCUCUGACCACGCCGUCCGGACGCUGGGGACCAGCCGUGGUGAAGGCGUCGCCCUCCCCUGGACUGUGUCCAGCAUGAAUUCCAACUUAACUUUCCGUCGCCUGCAACUGAGAGUUGGGGAGCCCCGAACAUUCCAGCAAGGCCGAACCCGGUGCGGAGAGAGGGGCGUAGGCCAGGGAUGGGCUCCAACGCGUUUUUGUUUGUUUCCCGUUUGGAGUGAGUCAAAGACUGAGUUCAGUUUUCAGGCCUCAAGACAGAUUUGCGGUUUUCUUUGGGGACUUUCUUGGGCACGACCAGGAGGAAUUUUGGAAUUAGAGGACUUGUCCUCAUUCUGAAGGAUAAAGCAGUACAGCCGGGCUCCUUCCCCAGGCGUGGGCCACCCAGGAGCCCCACGGCCUCACCUUCCUCGGGUACUUGUACGGGGCUGUCACCGACUUCACGUGCUGCUGCAGCUCCUUGGUGAGCUGGUCCUGGUCCCGGGACAGGAACUCUGGGGCCAGGACCACAAAGGCUUUCACCACCUACAGCGAGGGCAAAGAGAGAGGGGGCUAGAGGGCUUAGUCACCUCCUGGGACAACGCAAAACCUCACCACCGCCACCUCUCUGUCCCCUCAAUUGCACCUCCCAACACUUGAGUCAAGGAGAGAGAAGAAAAUGGAGGUAAGAGGGGCCAAGUUUCCAGCUCUGUCUCAAGCGGGUUACUGGAUGAGGAGUCAGGGCAGUAGGUUGAGACCGGCUCACCUCAGGCCCCAGGGACGGUAGAGACGGAUGGAGUGAGAGUCAAUGCAGGGCAAGUGAAGGCGGGGACCCUUGACCCCGAGUGACCUUGUUUAACUUAUCCAACUUUCACUUUGUCCAUCUUUAAAAUGGGUAUAAGACUGUCAGACUUAAUUCAUAGGGAAUAAAAUCGUAUGUGGCAGGGCUGAGCUCAGGGCUCUGGGGGGGAUCCCUGCAGUUACCCAUUCUCCUGUGUGACGCGCCCCACACGGGCCAGACGCAUGAUAUCGCCCAGCCUGCGCCCUGCAGAAACGUCCUGCGACCCUGGUCCUGGCCUCUGGCCUUGACCUUUCUCUAGGCAUACUCUGAACUCUGCCAGACUCCCUCCGGGCCUCCUCCUGUGACCCUGGCAUUAGAGGGGUCUUUCUUUGUCUUCACAUAUUAUAUGAUUUUAUUCCUAUACAGAGUAAUUCCAUAGAAACUGAAAUAAUGCAUCAUG